rnacentral:tRNA from 1 species
GGUAAGGUGGCUGAGAGCUAAGCGGCGGCCUGUAGUUCCGUGAAGGGAGGUUCAAGUCCUCUCCUUACCA